rnacentral:rRNA from 1 species
AUUAAUUAGCCGCUAAUAGCCCCUGAGUAGUAACUAUGAAUUAAACUCAAAGAAUUUGGCGGCGGCCUAACCUGCUAGAGGAGCCUGCCCCAUAAUCGAUGAUCCACGUUUUAAUUGACCUGCGCUUAAAGUUUGUAUACCGCCGUGUAGAGCAUAUUUAUAAAUAUGUUCCCAACAGGUUCCCACGUAUCUCAGGUCAAGGUGCAGCCUAUGCUCAGGAGGAGGUGGGCUACAUUAGAUUUAGCUAUACGGCAAUAGGGGUGAAACACCCAAUUAAAGGUGGAUUUACCAGUAAGGUAGGUAAAUUUACCCGCCUGAUCAGGUUCU